rnacentral:rRNA from 1 species
UACGUAGGGGCUAGCGUUGUCCGGAAUCAUUGGGCGUAAAGCGCGUGUAGGCGGUCCGGUAAGUCCGCUGUGAAAGUCGAGGGCUCAACCCUCGAAUGCCGGUGGAUACUGUCGGGCUUGAGUACGGGAGAGGCGAGUGGAACUGCGAGUGUAGAGGUGAAAUUCGUAGAUAUUCGCAAGAACACCAGUGGCGAAGGCGGCUCACUGGCCCGAUACUGACGCUGAGACGC